rnacentral:lncRNA from 1 species
AAAAAAGCUUUUUUUAACUACUGGGCUUGUUAUAGUCAAGUUUCAAUUGGUAUUAAAGGGGCAGCUGCUGUCAGUCUCUGACCUGUGAAAUGGGGCGAGCAGUGUGACUCUCACAAGCAGUUAACCCAGCAAACCAAGGUGAAGCAGCUGGUGCCAAGCGCCGGCCCAUUAGACAUGCUCAGGCUAUGGUAGCUCAGCCUCUGACCUCAGGUUCUUAGGCCAGGCACCCUGGCAAACUGAGGUCCCUGGAGAUUAGAACAGGAAAUCCAGGUGUUGAAGAUGCUUUACCUGUAGAGUGUGGAAGAGGCAGCAAACAGUAGCUGAGUAGUGAGUAGUAACUGGGCUCUAUUUCAUGUCAGCAACUCCUCUAACCACCUCCUCCCUCUUUCCCCAGCCCCCAUGCUUCCUCAAUUCAUCCCUCCUCUCCCAGCCCUGCAGAAGAGAGAAUAUCAUGUCCAUUCUGCAGAUGAAAAUACUGAGGCAGGGAAAGUUAGGCGUAGGUGGCUUGGCCAAUGUGUAUGUUAAAAACUUGUGGAUGUGGUUUCAUGUUAGGGGCCACAGUGGGACAUUUCCAGCUUGUUCUAGGGUCUGGGUGGGGUGCCAGAUUAUCAGUGAUCCCCCAAGAGAGAUGAAUCACAGGAUCAAAGAGAAGUGUCAACAUCUGAUUCUUUCUGCUGAGUUUUGUCUGCAAAGACCAAUGUACUCUGAGUCUAAGGCUGGUCUGAUAAUGUCAAAAUGGCAACGUGAAAUGUGGAAAAUGAAGUCAAACCAGUUAUUUGCUUACACAAGGUUUUUUUUUAAUGUGAGCUUAACCUAUUGUUUCUUUUUUAAUUUAGUCUUAUCUAUUUAUACAUGUAGACACAUGGCAUUAGAGGGUGGUAGCCAUGCCUUAAAAAUAGCACUGCACCCGGAAGAGAAAUGUCUUCUUAUGGGGUCUCAUGGCUUUCCUGAAUACAGAAAAAUUCUGGACAAUUCUCUGGCUCUCAAAAGACUGAAAGUACUUGGUUUAGAGAUUUUUUUAUUGGAAUCCUUUUUAAGCCCAGGCAGUUUGGUGGUGUACGG